UACGUAGGGGGCAAGCGUUGUCCGGAAUCAUUGGGCGUAAAGAGCGUGUAGGCGGCCAGGUAGGUCUGCUGUGAAAACUCGAGGCUCAACCCCGAGACGUCGGCGGAAACCAUCUGGCUAGAGUCCGGAAGAGGAGAAUGGAAUUCCCGGUGUAGCGGUGAAAUGCGCAGAUAUCGGGAAGAACACCCGUGGCGAAGGCGGUUCUCUGGGACGGUACUGACGCUGAGACGCAAAAGCGUGGGGAGCGAACAGG
rnacentral:rRNA from 1 species